AGAUUGAACGCUGGCGGCAUGCUUUACACAUGCAAGUCGAACGGCAGCACGGGGGCAACCCUGGUGGCGAGUGGCGAACGGGUGAGUAAUAUAUCGGAACGUACCCGGAAAUGGGGGGUAACGUAGCGAAAGUUACGCUAAUACCGCAUAUGCCCUAAGGGGGAAAGCGGGGGAUUCGUAAGAACCUCGCGUUUUCGGAGCGGCCGAUAUCGGAUUAGCUAGUAGGUGAGGUAAAGGCUCACCUAGGCGACGAUCCGUAGCUGGUCUGAGAGGACGACCAGCCACACUGGAACUGAGACACGGUCCAGACUCCUACGGGAGGCAGCAGUGGGGAAUUUGGACAAUGGGCGCAAGCCUGAUCCAGCCAUGCCGCGUGAGUGAAGAAGGCCUUGGUUAGUAAAGUCU
rnacentral:rRNA from 1 species